AUCGCUUCUCGGCCUUUUGGCUAAGAUCAAGUGUAGUAUCUGUUCUUAUCAGUUUAAUUGUGGUAAAAAACACAUAAUGCAGAAUUUACCAUCUUAAUCAUUUUUAAGUGUACAGUUUCGUAAUAUUAAGUACAUUCACAUUUUUGUGCAACAAAUCUC
ensembl:snRNA U2 U2 spliceosomal RNA